UACAGAGGGUGCGAGCGUUAUUCGGAAUUACUGGGCGUAAAGCGCGCGUAGGCGGUUUUGCAAGUCUGGGGUGAAAUCCCCAGGCUUAACCUGGGAACUGCAUUCGAGACUGCAUUACUAGAGUAUGGGAGAGGGAAGUGGAAUUUCCGGUGUAGCGGUGAAAUGCGUAGAUAUCGGAAGGAACAUCAGUGGCGAAAGCGACUUCCUGGACCAAUACUGACGCUCAUGUGCGAAAGCGUGGGGAGCAAACAGG
rnacentral:rRNA from 1 species